GACGAACGCUGGCGGCGUGCUUAACACAUGCAAGUCGAACGGAAAGGCCCUGCUUUUGUGGGGUGCUCGAGUGGCGAACGGGUGAGUAACACGUGAGUAACCUGCCCUUGACUUUGGGAUAACUUCAGGAAACUGGGGCUAAUACCGGAUAGGAGCUCCUGCUGCAUGGUGGGGGUUGGAAAGUUUCGGCGGUUGGGGAUGGACUCGCGGCUUAUCAGCUUGUUGGUGGGGUAGUGGCUUACCAAGGCUUUGACGGAUAGCCGGCCUGGGAGGGUGACCGGCCACAUGAGGACUGAGAUACGGCCCAGACUCCUACGGGAGGCAGCAGUGGAGAAUAUUACACAAUGGGCGGAAGCCUGAUGCAGCAGCGCCGCGUGCGGAAUGACGGCCUUCGGGUUGUAAACCGCUUUCGCCUGUGACGAAGCGUGAGUGACGGUAAUGGGUAAAGAAGCACCGGCUAACUACGUG
rnacentral:rRNA from 1 species